GAAAUGCGAUAAGUAAUGUGAAUUGCAGAAUUCAGUGAAUCAUCGAAUCUUUGAACGCACAUUGCGCCCGCCAGUACUCUGGCGGGCAUGCCUGUCCGAGCGUCAUUUCAACCCUCGCGCCCAUCCGGGCGCGGCGUUGGGGAUCGGAAGCGCGGCCCCGGCUCGCCCCGUCCCCCAAAUCCAGUGGCGGCCCCGCUGCAGCCUCCCCUGCGUAGUAGCACACCUCGCACCGGAGAGCGGCCCGGCCACGCCGUAAAACCCCCGACUUUCACGAGUUUGACCUCGGAUCAGGUAGGAAUACCCGCUGAACUUAA
rnacentral:misc_RNA from 1 species